rnacentral:sRNA from 1 species
CCAUAGCCCUGAUGGGAGCGGCAUCCUUUUUUCUUUUUUAUAAAAAAGGAAAAAGAUAUAGCGGACAGCAGGUUCUCGG